CUCAGCCUCUCAAACUGCUGGGAUUGCAGGCAUGAACCCUGGGGCUGGUCUGGGGAACUAUUACAUGCCCUGAGAUACAGAAGCACGCAAGACCAACAAGAUCCAUGAGCUUACAUUUGAAGGCAAAGAAAGCUGGAAAAUCUUAUGAAAUCAAUACCAGGAGGAAGGAGAAGACCUGUGAUCUGUUUCUUUCCCUUUAUGAGGAGAUGGUGUACAUGCCCAAGAAGGAGAGAAGAUAGGAGGCCAGGCACAGUAUCCUUGUGAACAUAUCUCUCCCCUGUGAGAAACCAGCCACCAUGUUGUAAGCAGCCCUGUGGCGAGACCCACAUGAGGAAGACCAGGGCUUGCCAACAUCCUCUGAAUGCACGUGGAAACAGAUCUCUGUCCCUCCCCUCAAGGCCCAGCUGUGCAUCCAAAUGAGAUCACAGCCUUUGUUGACAGCUUGACAGUCUCCUCAUGAGCCAGAGAAAUCAGCUAGGUGACUCUCAGAUUUCAGACGCACAGAAACUGUGAGAUAAUAAAUGCUUAUUGCUUUAAAUGCUAAAUUUUUGGGGUUAUUGAUUAUGCAGCAAUAGAUAAGAUAGAUGAAGUGUGCAAUGGGAAUGAUAAAUUCUACAGUGGGCCCUAGGUCACUGUAAACAGGAGCCACAGUGAUAUAAUCCCAAGUCUCCAGUGUGGCAUGAGGCUGAGAGCAUACUAGGGUUUAUCUAACUUCUUGGUUUUGAGUUUCUUUCCAUUUCCCUAGGCUGAGGCUAAAUUGGGAUUUGCUAUGGUGAGAAUGUGUCUUCUAAAUUUCAUGUAUUGGAAACUUUCCCCAAAUUUAUAUAUUAAUGAUAUUUGGAGGUAGGACUUUUGAGAGAUAACUAGGAUUAGAUAAGGUCAUAAAAGUGGGGUCUCCAUGAUGAGACUCAAGGCUUUAUAAAAAGAGGAGGAAGGAACUGAGUUGACGUGCUCUUGCCCUCUCGCCAUGUGGUACCUUCUGCCAUGUUAUGACACAUUAAGAAGGCCUUCAUCAGAUGCGGCUCCUUGAUUUUGGACUUCCUAG
rnacentral:lncRNA from 1 species